rnacentral:rRNA from 1 species
CCUACGGGUGGCUGCAGUGGGGAAUUUUGGACAAUGGGGGCAACCCUGAUCCAGCAAUGCCGCGUGAGUGAAGAAGGCCUUCGGGUUGUAAAGCUCUUUUGUCAGGGAAGAAAAGGUCGUGGCUAAUAUCCACGACUGCUGACGGUACCUGAAGAAUAAGCACCGGCUAACUACGUGCCAGCAGCCGCGGUAAUACGUAGGGUGCAAGCGUUAAUCGGAAUUACUGGGCGUAAAGCGUGCGCAGGCGGUUUCGUAAGUCUGUCGUGAAAUCCCCG